rnacentral:rRNA from 1 species
AGAGUUUGAUCCUGGCUCAGGACGAACGCUGGCGGCGUGCUUAACACAUGCAAGUCGAACGAUGAAGCGCUGUCUUUGUGGCGGUGUGGAUUAGUGGCGAACGGGUGAGUAAUACGCGGGCAACCUGCCCCUCUGCUUCGGGAUAAGCUUUGGAAACGGGGUCUAAUACCGGAUGUGCCUGUCUGGUCGCAUGGCUGGGCGGGGAAAGAUGUUUUUCGGCGGGGGAUGGGCUCGCGGCCUAUCAGCUUGUUGGUGGGGUGACGGCCUACCAAGGCGUCGACGGGUAGCCGGCCUGAGAGGGUGGUCGGCCACACUGGGACUGAGAUACGGCCCAGACUCCUACGGGAGGCAGCAGUGGGGGAUAUUGCACAAUGGGCGCAAGCCUGAUGCAGCGACGCCGCGUGGGGGAUGGAGGCUUUCGGGUUGUAAACCCCUUUCGGCGCGGGACAAGGCUCCGUUUGGCGGGGUUGAGGGUACGCGUCAAAGAAGCGCCGGCUAACUACGUGCCAGCAGCCGCGGUAAUACGUAGGGCGCGAGCGUUGUCCGGAAUUAUUGGGCGUAAAGGGCUCGUAGGCGGCUUGUCGCGUCUGCUGUGAAAACGCGGGGCUCAACUCCGCGCGUGCAGUGGGUACGGGCAGGCUGGAGUGCGGCAGGGGUGGCUGGAAUUCCUGGUGUAGCGGUGGAAUGCGCAGAUAUCAGGAAGAACACCGAUGGCGAAGGCAGGCCACUGGGCCGUCACUGACGCUGAGGAGCGAAAGCGUGGGGAGCGAACAGGAUUAGAUACCCUGGUAGUCCACGCCGUAAACGUUGGGCACUAGGUGUGGGGGGCCUUUUCCGGGUCUUCCGCGCCGUAGCUAACGCAUUAAGUGCCCCGCCUGGGGAGUACGGCCGCAAGGCUAAAACUCAAAGGAAUUGACGGGGGCCC